GCCUUUUACUGCAGGGUGGAGGAAUUGAAGAACCGAGAAUGGGCAAUCAAUUGAGCCGUCCGAGUUUCAGCCCUUCUCAAAGGGACAUUUAUUACCAAGGUACCCUUAUCUCGGGAGACUUUAAGUUUUCAAAGAAGCGACUUAAAGGAUUUCUUAACUGGGUUUUUAAACAUUUUUCGUUUACUAAUGAGUGUUCUAUUCUUUUAAGUACCUUUUGGGAUGACGUGGGGAGAAAGUUUUAUGCUGUCCGAGGAUCUUUGGGUAAGCACUCAGAUGGAAGCCACCCGGGGGGGAGACUGGGAACUGGCAAAUAAAAUCAUACCCUUCCCACUUAUUUAUAUGCGAGCGAGUAGGAAGAGAGCCACAGCACUGCCACUGUGGGAGUCCCUCCCAUCUGGGGAAUUUAAGGAAUUGGAUAAAGCAGCAAAGGAGCGCGGUCGGACAUCGGGUUUGGCGGCGCGGCGGGUCCGGUCGUGGGUUCCGUCCUGGGUUCCGUGAGCAAGCCGGAGCUCCCGGGUCAGGAAUUUCCGAUCGGGCAUCCCGGCGGUGCCACCAUGUCCCUGUCGCACUUGUACGGCACGGACGGAGGCGAUGGCGUGGAGAUGGAGAGCUUUGAGGUGUCGGACUGGAACCUGCAGAACGAAUUCAACCCGCAGCGGCAGCGCCACACCAAGGAAGAGGCGACCUACGGCGUGUGGGCUGAGAGCCACUCGCAUGAGGACUCGGAUGGCGAUGAGAAGCCUGUGAAGCAGGAGGAGAUGCCCAAGGAGUUUGUGCCCAAGAAGUUAAAAAUAGGUGGAAAUUUCAAGCCCAGCCAGAAAGGCUUCGCAGGGGGCUCCAAGUCCUUCGUGGGUUUUGGCAGCUGGGAGAGACACACUAAAGGAAUUGGGCGGAAGCUUCUCCAGAAGAUGGGAUAUGUCCCUGGAAGAGGUCUGGGGAAGAAUGCUCAAGGAAUCAUCAAUCCCAUCGAGGCCAAGCAGAGGAAAGGCAAAGGUGCUGUGGGUGCUUACGGCUCCAAGAGGACCAUGCAGUCCUUGCAGGACUUCCCUGGGGUGGACUCAGAAGAGGAAACUGAGGAGGAAUUUCAGAAGGAGCUCAGCCAAUGGCAGAAGGACCCGAAUGGAGGCAAGAAAAAGCCCAAGUACAGCUACAAGACAGUGGAAGAGCUGAAAGCCAAGGGCAGGAUCAGCAAGCAGCUUGCAGCCCCUCAGAAGGAGCUGCCCCAGGUCAAGGUGAUCGACAUGACAGGCCGGGAGCAGAAGGUUUAUUACAGCUACAGCCAGAUCAGCCACAAGAACAACAUCCCAGAUGACAGCCCCCAGCAGCCCCUGGGCAAGAACUCCAAGCCCCAGGGGUUUGCCCUGCCUGAGCUGGAGCACAACCUGCAGCUGCUCAUCGACAUCACGGAGCAGGAGAUCAUCCAGAGCGACCGGCAGCUGCAGUACGAGAGGGACGUGGUGCUCAGCCUGAGCCACGAGAUCCAGAGGGUGGCUGAGGUGCUGUCCCACGAGGAGAAGGCCAUCAGCAACCUCAUCAAGGUGCUGGACACGGUGGAGGAGUGUGAGAGGCGGAUGCAGCCAGGCUGUGAGAACCCUCUGACCCUGGAUGAGUGUGCAGAGAUCUUUGAGACCCUGCAGGACAAGUACUAUGAGGAGUACUGGAUGUCAGGCAGGGUGGAGCUGGCAGUGGCCAUAGUUUAUCCUCUCAUGAAGGAAUACUUCAAGAACUGGGAUCCCCUCAAGGACUGUACAUAUGGCACAGAGAUCAUAGCCAAGUGGAAGGGCCUUCUGGAAAACGAUCAGCUGUUAUCCCACAGUGGGCAGGACCUGUCAACCGAUGCUUUUCCCAGACUGAUGUGGGAGAUCUGGAUGCCACAUGUCAGGAACAUCGUGGCGCGGUGGCAGCCAAGGAACUGCAGAUCCAUGGUGGAUUUCUUGGACAGCUGGGUGAACGUUGUUCCUGUGUGGAUACUGGAUAACAUCCUGGAUCAGCUCAUCUUCCCCAAGCUGCAGAAGGAGGUGGAGAGCUGGGACCCGCUGACGGACACGGUGCCCAGCCACUGGUGGAUCCAGCCCUGGCUGCCGCUGCUGCAGGCGCGGCUGGAGCCGCUCUACUCGCCCAUCCGCACCAAGCUGGCCAAGGCCCUGCAGAAGUGGCACCCCAGCGACUCCUCUGCCAAGCUCAUCCUUCAGCCCUGGAAGGACGUGUUCACUCCUGGCUCCUGGGAGGCUUUCAUGGUCAACAACAUCGUGCCUAAACUCGGAAUGUGUCUGAAUGAGCUCAUCAUCAACCCCCACCAGCAGCACAUGGAUGCCUUUUACUGGGUGAUUGACUGGGAGGGGAUGAUUUCUGUCUCCAGCCUGGCUGGGCUGCUGGAGAAACACUUCUUCCCAAAGUGGCUGCAGGUGCUCUGCUCUUGGCUCAGUAACAGCCCCAACUACGAAGAGAUCACCAAGUGGUACCUGGGCUGGAAGUCCAUGUUCUCAGACCAGGUGCUGGCACAUCCCUCCAUCAAGGACAAGUUCAGUGAAGCCCUUGACAUCAUGAAUGGGGCUGUGUCCUGCGGCGUGGGUGGGCACACGCAGCCGGGAGCCCGGGAGAACAUCGCGUGCCUGUGGCGCAGGGAGCGGCGCAAGGACGCCCAGCGCGCGGCCGGGAACGUGGCACAGCGCGGCAUCACCGCCAGCCCCGUGCCCCUGAGCUUCAAGGACCUCAUCCAGACCAAGGCCCAGGAGCACAACAUCGUCUUCAUGCCCAUCAUUGGCAAGAGGCACGAGGGCAAGCAGCUCUACACCUUCGGCAGGGUUGUCAUCUACAUCCACAGGGGCGUGGUCUUCGUGCAAGGGGAGAAGACCUGGGUGCCCACCUCGCUGCAGAGCCUCAUUGACAUGGCCAGGUGAGGCAUCUGAGUGCCCACCUCGCUGCAGAGCCUCACUGACAUGGCCAGGUGAGACACCUGGGUGCCCACCUACUGCAGAGCCUCAUUGACAUGGCCAGGUGAGGCACCUGGGUGCCACCUCCCUGCAGAACCUCAUUGACAUGGCCAGGUGAGACACCUGG